CUGGAUCAAGAACGAAAGUAAAGGGGAUCGAAGACGAUCAGAUACCGUCGUAGUCUUUACUAUAACGAUGAGACUGGGAUCGGGUGAGGCAUUACGAUGACCCACCGGCACCUUCGAGAAAUCAAAGUGUUUGCUUUCUGGGGGGAGUAUGGUCGCAAGGCUGAAACUUAAAGGAAUUGACGGAAGGGCAUCACCGGGUGUGGAGCCUGCGGCUUAAUUUGACUCAACACGGGAAAACUUACCAGGUCAGAAUAUAGUAAGGAUUGACAGAUUGAGAGCUCUUUCUUGAUUCUAUAGGUGGUGGUGCAUGGCCGUUCUUAAUUCGUGCAGUGAUUUGUCUGGUUAAUUCCGUUAACGAGUGAGACCUGGGCGUGCUAAAUAGGGGCUACUACCAUUUUGGUAGUACGCUUUACCCUUCUUAGACGGACUGUGUGUGUCUAACACACGGAAGCUCCAGGCAAUAACAGGUCUGAGAUGCCCUUCGAUGUUCUGGGCCGCACGCGUGCUACACUGAGUGGAUCAGCGGGUUAGGUUGCGCGAAAGUGUUUCCUAACCUUCAAAUCCGCUCGUGAUGGGGAUUGACGGUUGCAAUUUUCCGUCAUGAACGAGGAAUACCUUGUAAGCGCGGGUCAUCAUCCCGCGCUGAAUACGUCCCUGCCCUUUGUACACACCGCCCGUCGCUCCUACCGAUUGAGUGGUCCGGUGAGGCUUUGGGAUCUGAGCGGAAAGAGCGUUUCGCUCGUUCUGCAUGGAGAACUCAGUCGAACCUUAUCAUUUAGAGGAAGGAGAAGUCGUAACAAGGUUUCC
rnacentral:rRNA from 1 species